rnacentral:sRNA from 1 species
UGGUUAGAAGUACAAGAUUAAAAUCCAGUGUUAUAUGCUAUGAACAUGACUUUUUUAAUUUUUUACUUUUAUUAUUUAUUUGUUUGUUUUUAUUUUGUGUGUGUGUGUGUGUGUGUGUGUGUGUCUGUGCAUGCGCGCGCACGCGCGUGCUCACAUGCAUGCUGAGGAUUGAACUCAGGCCCUGCAUAUUCUGGGCCAGCAGGCACUCUACCACUGAUCUGUAGCCCAA